rnacentral:rRNA from 1 species
AUGAACGCUAGCGGCAGGCUUAACACAUGCAAGUCGAACGGUAACAUGAGUAGCAAUACUUGAUGACGAGUGGCGCACGGGUGCGUAACGCGUAUGCAACUUACCUCUAACUGGAAGAUACCCUUCCGAAAGGAAGAAUAAUACUCCAUUAUAUUUCGAUGUGGCAUCACAUUGUUCUUAAAGCUUCGGCGGUUAGAGAUAGGCAUGCGUCUGAUUAGCUUGUUGGUGAGGUAAUGGCUCACCAAGGCAACGAUCAGUAGGGGGCCUGAGAGGGUUAUCCCCCACACUGGUACUGAGACACGGACCAGACUCCUACGGGAGGCAGCAGUGAGGAAUAUUGGUCAAUGGACGCAAGUCUGAACCAGCCAUGCCGCGUGCAGGAUGAAUGCCCUAUGGGUUGUAAACUGCUUUUCUCAGGGAAUAAACCCUUCUACGUGUAGAAGGCUGAAGGUACCUGAGGAAUAAGCACCGGCUAACUCCGU